AAGGAAAUAAUUCCUUAAUAUUGAUGAAAAAAUACCAGUUCCCUUAGCAGACUAUUUCACUUAUAACAAGACAUUUUUCCCAUAUUAUAAGUUAAUUAAUCUCCCAGAGGAACAAGUAUCUUUUCAUCAUAAUAAGCGAACAUUUACUUUAAAAAGCUUCCAUUUCUUGCUAGAAAGUUACUUGUAAGUUAGUUUUGUCAUAUUUCAAGUGUAAUAAAAUAUUUGCACUAGUCACUACUAGACCAAAACACUUGAUAAAAUGUAGGUUUUUUGUAGUGUAAAUAAAUAACAAACAAACAAGCGUGUAUUCAUUUUAAAUUUGAAAGGCAUUUUCCAUUCAUUGCCCAGCAAAUAAACAAUAAGUCAGUGGUGAGAAAAGCUGUAUUAAGUUUUGGUAUGUGCUUAGAUAUGGUGCAAUACCAUUGCCAUAAUACUUCACAACAAAUCAGGUUAUUGGAUUAUUUAACUUGACUACGUUUCAUUUAGGUUAUCAGUUUACUUUUAAGAUGCUACACAUUAGCGUGAUUGAAAAUAUUGAAUAAGUUGAAACAUACCAACAGAAUUGGUGAUUAGAUGACACUUAUUGAUCCUGGCAAACUGUUUAUGAUUUUGACCUUUGACGGUUGAUGGAUAUAAGCCGUAACAUCCCCUCCUCUACAAUCCUGCAGACAUUGAUGUAGAAAAUGGAUGAAACCUUUUCUAACUUCAAGACAGAUCACAACUUCAGUGUCCAAAGUCGGUCCUUGAGGGCCGCUGGCCUCCAUGUUUUAGUCCUUUCCCUGGUUCAACACACCUGAAUCAAAUGAGACAUCGAUGGGUCUGCAGUUCUGUUUCCAAGACACCUCAGUGAGUAACCUUUACACAGGUAACAGAAUACAAAUUUAUUUUUUUGUUUCAGUUCCAUUUAUAAAGAUAAACUCUUACAUUAUAUAGUCACUACACGGAGAGAUUGAAAAGCUAAAAUGUAUUUUCUUAGAAAAUCAAAACAUUGAAUAAAGUCCAUAAUUAUAUUUAUUUGAUGGCCUUGACAGUCAUAGGUAAGACUGCUGUCUUGAGUUUCAUUAACACCUUCCACUAAAAGGGCAAGUCAUCAAAGGUUGGUACUAAAGAUGCCCAUAGAGGGCUGCUUUCCAGUACAAAAAGGAAAGUUGAAUGGAAGGUAAAAGUGUGGUAGAAAAAUAUGCACAAGCAUUGUGGUUAACAGAGAGGAUUGUAAAACAACGCUCAUUAAGGAGUCUAGGAUUGAAGUAACAAAAUAAUUUCUAUUGGCCUUAUAUAAUAUUCUAAUAUUGUAGGAAACACAAAUUUGAGUUUUAAUUAGCUCUAAGUGAUAAUCACCAGAAUUACCAGCAAUAGACACUGAAAAUAUCUGUGUAUUAUGAAAAUUUAUUGAUUAAUUUGACUUUCAUAUAUAUACAAAAACAUAUUCUUAAUCUUUUUUGUUUGUAUUCUUAUUUAUUUAGUUGCAUCUGUUUGCUGAUUAAUAUUAAAACUAACAAAAUGAAAUGGUAAUAUUGGAUGUUUUUAAAUGGAAUUUUCAGAAAAUCACUGUAAAAAUACCUGAACAUAAACACAUUGGAAUAAGUUAUUUGUCCAUUUUUUCUCUCAAUAAAGUACUGUAUGGUCAA